rnacentral:rRNA from 1 species
CUCGGCAACGGAUAUCUCGGCUCUCGCAUCGAUGAAGAACGUAGCGAAAUGCGAUACUUGGUGUGAAUUGCAGAAUCCCGUGAACCAUCGAGUCUUUGAACGCAAGUUGCGCCCCACGCCAUUCGGCCGAGGGCACGUCUGCCUGGGUGUCACGC